GCGUCUGGAAAGGCGCGCGAUACAGGGUGACAGCCCCGUACACAAAAGUGCAUGUGCUGUGAGCUCGAUGAGUAGGGCGGGACACGUGGUAUCCUGUCUGAAUAUGGGGGGACCAUCCUCCAAGGCUAAAUACUCCUGACUGACCGAUAGUGAACCAGUACCGUGAGGGAAAGGCGAAAAGAACCCCGGCGAGGGGAGUGAAAAAGAACCUGAAACCGUGUACGUACAAGCAGUGGGAGCACAGGUUUACCUGUGUGACUGCGUACCUUUUGUAUAAUGGGUCAGCGACUUAUAUUCUGUAGCAAGGUUAACCGUAUAGGGGAGCCGUAGGGAAACCGAGUCUUAACCGGGCGUUAAGUUGCAGGGUAUAGACCCGAAACCCGGUGAUCUAGCCAUGGGCAGGUUGAAGGUUGGGUAACACUAACUGGAGGACCGAACCGACUAAUGUUGAAAAAUUAGCGGAUGACCUGUGGCUGGGGGUGAAAGGCCAAUCAAACCGGGAGAUAGCUGGUUCUCCCCGAAAGCUAUUUAGGUAGCGCCUCGUGAACUCAUCUCCGGGGGUAGAGCACUGUUUCGGCUAGGGGGCCAUCCCGGCUUACCAACCCGAUGCAAACUGCGAAUACCGGAGAAUGUUAUCACGGGAGACACACGGCGGGUGCUAACGUCCGUCGUGAAGAGGGAAACAACCCAGACCGCCAGCUAAGGUCCCAAAGUCAUGGUUAAGUGGGAAACGAUGUGGGAAGGCCCAGACAGCCAGGAUGUUGGCUUAGAAGCAGCCAUCAUUUAAAGAAAGCGUAAUAGCUCACUGGUCGAGUCGGCCUGCGCGGAAGAUGUAACGGGGCUAAACCAU
rnacentral:rRNA from 1 species